GGUGCCUGAUGCCUCUUUGGCAGAUGCGAAGGCUCGAUCUCAAAUGCUGCCCUCUUCUUGACAACAUGCUGACGAAUAUCAGCAUCCGACACACAUACUCUUUGCUGCAUAGCUGUAAUUACAAUGGAGGUCAGUGCAAGUUGGCAAGCAGAAAGAAAAUCAAGAAUAACCAACCAAUUGUACUAUACUAUACCUAGGCGAGGAACUGAUCUAAGGCCGGUGUCAUAAAGAGCCUG
rnacentral:lncRNA from 1 species